CCUACGGGAGGCAGCAGUGAGGAAUAUUGGUCAAUGGACGAGAGUCUGAACCAGCCAAGUAGCGUGAAGGAUGACUGCCCUAUGGGUUGUAAACUUCUUUUAUAUGGGAAUAAAAUGUUCCACGUGUGGGAUUUUGUAUGUACCAUAUGAAUAAGGAUCGGCUAACUCCGUGCCAGCAGCCGCGGUAAUACGGAGGAUCCGAGCGUUAUCCGGAUUUAUUGGGUUUAAAGGGAGCGUAGGUGGAUUGUUAAGUCAGUUGUGAAAGUUUGCGGCUCAACCGUAAAAUUGCAGUUGAAGCUGGCAGUCUUGAGUACAGUAGAGGUGGGCGGAAUUCGUGGUGUAGCGGUGAAAUGCUUAGAUAUCACGAAGAACUCCGAUUGCGAAGGCAGUUCACUGGACUGCAACUGACACUGAGGCUCGAAAGUGUGGGUAUCAAACAGGAUUAGAUACCCCAGUAGUC
rnacentral:rRNA from 1 species